rnacentral:rRNA from 1 species
UACAGAGGGUGCGAGCGUUGUCCGGAAUCACUGGGCGUAAAGGGCGCGUAGGCGGCUUGAUAAGGUUGCGGUGAAAGCCCGGGGCUCAACCCCGGGUCGGCCGUGGCAACUGUCGAGCUGGAGCACUGUAGAGGCAGGUGGAAUUCCGGGUGUAGCGGUGGAAUGCGUAGAGAUCCGGAAGAACACCGGUGGCGAAGGCGGCCUGCUGGGCAGUG